rnacentral:rRNA from 1 species
GACAGAGGUGCCAAGCGUUAGGCGGAAUCACUGGGCUUAAAGCGUGUGUAGGCGGAAGCGUAAGUGCCUUGUGAAAUCCCACGGCUUAACCGUGGAACUGCUGGGCAUACUGCGUUUCUUGAGCCAGUCAGGGGUCGUCGGAACAAACGGUGGAGCGGUGAAAUGCGUAGAUAUCGUUUGGAACGCAAAGGCGAAAGCAGACGACUGGGACUGAGCUGACGCUGAGACACGAAAGCCAGGGGAGCAAAGCGGG